UACAGAGGUCCCAAGCGUUGUUCGGAUUCACUGGGCGUAAAGGGUGCGUAGGCGGUUUGAUAAGUCUGAUGUGAAAUCCCGCAGCUUAACUGCGGAACUGCAUUGGAAACUGUUUGACUAGAGGAAUGGAGGGGAGACUGGAAUACUUGGUGUAGCAGUGAAAUGCGUAGAGAUGAAGAGGAACACCAGUGGCGAAGGCGAGUCUCUGGACAGUUCCUGACGCUGAGGCGCGAAAGCCAGGGGAGCAAAUGGG
rnacentral:rRNA from 1 species